GUGCCGGUUGAUUAGAUGGAGUUGUUGCUGGCCUGAACCCAGGCAUGUGCAUGCUCCAAUCUCAUCCAUCUUACACCUGUGCACCCUUGCGUGGGUCCGUCGGCUUUGCGGUCGAUGGGCUUGCGUUUUUCAUAAACUCUUAUGUAUGUAACAGAAUGUCAUAAUGCUAUAAACGCAUCUUAUACAACUUUCAACAACGGAUCUCUUGGCUCUCGCAUCGAUGAAGAACGCAGCGAAAUGCGAUAAGUAAUGUGAAUUGCAGAAUUCAGUGAAUCAUCGAAUCUUUGAACGCACCUUGCGCCCCUUGGUAUUCCGAGGGGCACGCCUGUUCGAGUGUCGUGAAAUUCUCAACUCAAUCCUCUUGUUAUGAGAGGGCUGGGCUUGGACUUGGAGGUCUUGCCGGUGCUCCCUCGGGAAGUCGGCUCCUCUUGAAUGCAUGAGUGGAUCCCUUUUGUAGGGUUUGCCCUUGGUGUGAUAAUUAUCUACGCCGCGGGUAGCCUUGCGUUGGUCUGCUUCUAACCGUCUUCCGAACAAUUUUCAUCUCACUUGGCCUCCAAACCAGCGGGAAUUACCCGUUAACUUUAGCCAUAUCAAUAACGGGAGAA
rnacentral:rRNA from 1 species